UACGUAGGGUGCGAGCGUUGUCCGGAAUUAUUGGGCGUAAAGAGCUUGUAGGCGGUCUGUCGCGUCUGCUGUGAAAAUCCGGGGCUCAACCCGGACUUGCAGUGGGUACGGGCAGACUAGAGGUGUGGUAGGGGAGACUGGAAUUCCGUGGUGAUAGCGGUGAAAUGCGCAGAUAUCAGGAGGAACACCGAUGGCGAAGCAGGUCUCUGG
rnacentral:rRNA from 1 species